rnacentral:misc_RNA from 1 species
GAUGAAGAACGUAGCGAAAUGCGAUACGUAAUGUGAAUUGCAAAUUCAGUAAAUCAUCGAGUCUUUGAACGCACAUUGCGCCCCCUGGUAUUCCGGGGGGCAUGCCUGUCCGAGCGUCAUUGCUGCCCUCAAGCACGGCUUGUGUGUUGGGCCCCGUCCUCCGAUUCCGGGGGACGGGCCCGAAAGGCAGCGGCGGCACCGCGUCCGGUCCUCGAGCGUAUGGGGCUUUGUCACCCGCUCUGUAGGCCCGGCCGGCGCUUGCCGAUCAACCCAAAUUUUUAUCCAGGUUGACCUCGGAUCAGGUAGGGAUACCCGCUGAACUUAAGCAUAUCAAUAAGCGGAGGA